UUCCGGGUUCGUUUAACGGCAGGACACGUGGUUCUGGCCCACGGUAUCGAGGUUCGAAUCCUUGACCCGGAGUC
rnacentral:tRNA from 1 species